rnacentral:rRNA from 1 species
UAUCAAUAAGCGGAGGAAAAGAAACCAACAGGGAUUGCCUUAGUAACGGCGAGUGAAGCGGCAAAAGCUCAAAUUUGAAAUCUGGCACCUUCGGUGUCCGAGUUGUAAUUUGAAGAAGGUAACUUUGGAGUUGGCUCUUGUCUAUGUUCCUUGGAACAGGACGUCACAGAGGGUGAGAAUCCCGUGCGAUGAGAUGCCCAAUUCUAUGUAAAGUGCUUUCGAAGAGUCGAGUUGUUUGGGAAUGCAGCUCUAAGUGGGUGGUAAAUUCCAUCUAAAGCUAAAUAUUGGCGAGAGACCGAUAGCGAACAAGUACAGUGAUGGAAAGAUGAAAAGAACUUUGAAAAGAGAGUGAAAAAGUACGUGAAAUUGUUGAAAGGGAAGGGCUUGAGAUCAGACUUGGUAUUUUGCGAUCCUUUCCUUCUUGGUUGGGUUCCUCGCAGCUUACUGGGCCAGCAUCGGUUUGGAUGGUAGGAUAAUGACUAAGGAAUGUGGCUCUACUUCGGUGGAGUGUUAUAGCCUUGGUUGAUACUGCCUGUCUAGACCGAGGACUGCGUCUUUUGACUAGGAUGUUGGCAUAAUGAUCUUAAGCCACCCGUCUUGAAACCCGGA